rnacentral:rRNA from 1 species
CAGUCGCCGCGGGAAUACGAAGGGUGCAAGCGUUAAUCGGAAUUACUGGGCGUAAAGCGUGCGUAGGCGGUUUGUUAAGUCUGUUGUGAAAUCCCCGGGCUCAACCUGGGAAUGGCAAUGGAUACUGGCUCGCUAGAGUGUGUCAGAGGAUGGUGGAAUUCCCGGUGUAGCGGUGAAAUGCGUAGAGAUCGGGAGGAACAUCAGUGGCGAAGGCGGCCAUCUGGGACAACACUGACGCUGAGGCACGAAAGCGUGGGGAGCAAACAGGAUUAGAUACCCGCGUAGUCCCUGUCUCUUAUAA